rnacentral:tRNA from 1 species
CCCCUGGUGGCUCAGCGGUAGAGAAUCUGCCUGCAGCGCAGAAGACACAGGUUCAAUCCCUAGGUGGGGAA